rnacentral:rRNA from 1 species
UACGGGGGGUGCGAGCGUUGUCCGGAAUCACUGGGCGUAAAGGGCGCGUAGGUGGUUUGAUAAGGGUGUGGUGAAAGUCCGGAGCUCAACUCCGGAUCUGCCGUGCCGACUGUCAAACUCGAGGGCUGUAGAGGCAGACGGAAUUCCGGGUGUAGCGGUGGAAUGCGUAGAGAUCCGGAGGAAGACCGGUGGCGAAGGCGGCUCACUGGACUGGUACUGACGCUGAGGCGCGAAAGCGUGGGGAGCAAACGGG